AUGGUGCCAAAGAUUGGAACAAGUUUCGACACCCUCGGAGAAGCAUACGACUUUUACAAUUUAUACUCAUGGGAGAAAGGGUUUGGUAUUCGCUACGGAAAGAGUAGGCUGAACGUGAACAUGAGCAAGUGUAUGCAAGAGAUCGUGUGUGGAUGCGCGGGGAAGCCAAUCGUUGAGAAUACUCGUUCGUGCCGGUGUGAAUGCCCAUCCCUCAUCAGACUACUGAGAACAAAGGACAAUGGGUGGUACAUAGCAGAGCAUCGAGAUGGACACAACCAUGCAUUGUCACAAACAUAUGGCCAGACAAUACACUGGCCGUCACACAAGCAUAUUGACGUUUACAGCAAGGAUUUAGUGAAGCAGUUGAGGCAGAACAAUGUCAAUUUGUCAAAAGUCUACAGCAUUAUUGGCAGCUUUUUUGGAAAGAUGGAGAAUGUGCCAUUUACCAAAAGAGCUCCGCGGAAUUUGUGUGGCAAGAUAAGCCGGGAGCAAGCAGAAGAUGAUGUUAGGAAAACAAUGGAAGUGUUUCAUGAUCUGUGCUCAAAGGAUCCUCAAUUCACGUAUCGAGUUCAGGCGGACAAAGAGGGCAGGAUCAGCAACUUGAUGUGGGCUACAGGGAACAGUAGGCUCCAGUACAACUUCUUUGGGGAUGUCAUUACAUUUGACACAACCUAUAGGACCAACCUGUAUGACAUGCCAUUUGGGUUAUUUGUUGGAGUGAACAACCAUUUCCAGAGUAUCAUACUAGCUGGUGUGCUAGUUCGGCAUGAGACAGAGGAAACAUUUGAGUGGGCCUUCUCAGAGUUUGUUAGGAUAAUGGGGGGAGGGCGCCACAAACAAUACUUACCGAUCAAAACAAGGCGAUGGAGGUUGCCAUAA
rnacentral:rRNA from 1 species